rfam:Brachypodium distachyon strain Bd21 chromosome 1, whole genome shotgun sequence.
AUGUUACUCCCUCCGAUCCAUAUUAGUUGUCUAAAUAUUACAUGUAUCUGGACGUUUUUUAGGCACAAAUACAUCCAUAUUUGGACAAAUUGGAGACAAUUAAUAUGGAUUGGAGGGAGUAUCCU